rnacentral:misc_RNA from 1 species
GUAGGUGAACCUGCGGAAGGAUCAUUACCUUUUGCUUAUAGCACUCCCAAGGCCUGGCCUAUGGUUUGUUAAGGCAAUAAACCCUUGUCUAUAAUACCUUUGUCUAUCCUUUGGCAGGCAUAGGGCUGCCAUUGGACUUACAUAAACCUUUUAUAGUAGCCUAUACUUCUGAACAUUAUAAUCAUUAUAACUUUCAACAAUGGAUCUCUUGGCUCUG